rnacentral:rRNA from 1 species
UAGGGAAUAUUGCACAAUGGGCGCAAGCUGAUGCAGCAACGCCGCGUGACAAGAAGGCCUUCGGGUCGUAAAGCUCUAUCGACCGGGACGAAGUAUGACUGUACCGGGGUAAGAAGCCACGACUAACUACGUG